GUGCGCCAUAUUCACCAGGCACGUCGCGCUUCACCUCCAGGUUCCUGUCGUUGCUCAUCACUGCAAUUGAUGCAAAGAAGUGAAGUGUGAGCUGCUAAGAACACACUACUUGAGUACAAGGUGUGUUUGUGUUGGGCACAAGCUCGGGGCUUUUAAGCAAGGUGGUCUCUAUAGUAUUUCCUCCAGCAUGAAGAACGUGGGUGCAAGCGACAGAUAUCAUCCACAGGGACCAAGCUUACAGAAUCAGAACGCUGUAAUGUAAGACAGCUUUCUUCAGCUGUUUGGUGGGAUGUCAACUAGAUACGGACACUAUGCGUUAAUUGUCCACCUUCAUCCGGUCUCAGGAUUCCUUCCCGCCUUUCAAUACCCAGUUCACGUCAAGGACCUGAAACUUAUCUUCAACAUGGUGCUUUGUUGUUCUUCUGCCUCCUCAAGCAUGAAGAGCCUGGGUCCAAACGAGAGAGGUCAUCCACAGGGAUCAAGCUUAAAAGCCAAAAUGAAAACAGGUAACAAGCAAUACAAUAUACAGGAUAGGCCCCUCUUGUAUAUCUUGGUAAGAUGUCACGGUCAGUUUGUUAUUCCUCCAGAAAAAAACGUGCAGAGAAUAAUUGUUAAAAUAUUAUAGAAUGCAUUUCAAUAGUUUAGACUUUUUUUAGGUUUUUCAAUUUUGUAAAAGUAAUUAAGCAACAUAAAAAAGUAAGUAUGCAAUAUAAAAAAUUAAUUGCUACAUGUUGCAUGUAGCAAUGUUUGGUUUGCUUAAUAGUAAUGUUAUUAUUACUUAUUAAUCCAAUUGAUCAAAUAAAGUUUAUAGUUAUAAGCAAUCAUAUUGCAUAUCAAUCAUUAAAUGAUAGAAUAAAAAAUAAUAUACUAGAAAAAGUUUAAGAAAGUUUAUAAAUUAUAAAUACAAGAUUAAUCUAAAUGAAUAACAACCAUUAGAUAAUUGAACAUUCUAGAAUAUCCAAGUAUAUUUUAAAUAUAUUCACUACCAGGCUUUAUGACGAGUUUGAAACAUUUACAUUCUUAAUAUCACUUUAAUUACUUAUGCAAACCAAUUACUACUUUUUAGGUUGGACAAAUUGUUUUUGGAAUUUCUUUUGUUCCUCAUAAAUUAGAUUACUACUGAUGGAUUGUUGGUUAGCGGCAGCAUCGGGCUCACGUUCUCUAGCAUCUCCGAGGCACUGUCACUGGCCGGAAUGUUCUUUCUCCUUGCCGGCAUUGCGGUGUUCAUCUACUUUCUGGUCAAAGGAAAGAGUUUGGAAGAGAUCUCUGGGAUGUUUGAGCGGGAGGGAAUGGUUGCUGGAUCGCCAGAGUUUGUGGAGCUUUCUUCAUCCACGGCGGUGACAGCUCUCAAGUAUGAGGACGUGGGAAGUGGAAGUGGAUGGGAGCCAUGAAGAAAGCGGGGGGCAUGUUGGGCAGCAACGAAUGUAUGAUGAAGAAUCUCACAAGAAGUUGCUAGCUAAGGUCAAGUUGAUUACUGCAAAACAGGGUGAUUUUAAUUCCUAUGUCCAGUUAAGUAACUAUUAUUUAUGCAAUCAUACCUCAUAAAUUAAAUAUUUUCUUGAAUUAACAAAGUAGUUUCUUUUUAUAUAUUUUUCAAUUAUUGGAACAGAAUCAAUAAUGUGUAUAAGCCAUUUACCGAGCCACAAUGGUGCGACUGGUGAAGCCACCCGGUAGUCAUAACGUCGUGCUGCUGCCAGGCCACAACUGGCUGCAGGUGAAACCAUUCAGCCUGUGGUUAUGUUCAUGUCCCAGCAAAUGGUGCACCUGAUAGCUCCUCUAGUUCUGCCGCGACCAUGCAUGAGAAGAUUGAUUGACCGCACAGCCAUUCUGAUAUUUCGGUGUUUUGAUUUGCGUUCUUUCCUCGGUGAGUGAUAUCUUGUCUUUGAGCGCAAUCAGACUUCGUGUGUAGGAUCUCCUUCAACGGAAGUGGUGAAAUCUUACUUUCUUACCUGAGGCCUGUAUCAUUCAUGAAGAAUAAGUAUAGGUAUAUUCUCUUCUUAAAGAUCGUGUACGCAUGAUUGAUCAAAUUGGUUGCAUAGAUUUUGAAGCAAGUUGUGAAAGUUGGGCAUACUAUCAUGACAAAAGAGCCAUUCUCUUUGUGAUCAUUACAGUUCUGGUGAGAGGAACAGCAUCGUCAAUCUCAGUUCACGAGGGCAAUCUUCGAAGUGUAACAUGCUUCACAGCAAUCCUGAGCAUGGAUGGUGACUCAUCCCACAAGUCCAACUGGUGGCAGUUUCUUCCAUAUUUACAAUCAAGCAGCCAGCAGGCCUUUCUUGCGUACAUGGUCUCCAGCUUCUCGGGUCGAAACCUCACGGCAGAAGUUGCGGAGAAAGGUGGUCUUCUCUCAACCAAGAUCAUAGAGCACAAAUCCAAGGAAAGAUCAAGAGCUUGGGAACUAUGUGGGCAUUAGGUUUUGUUUGUCUUGACGACGCUGGAGCUGGAACCUGUGUUAAGUUCACGCCCGUGGUGAUCCAAGCCAUUCCAGGUACCACAAAGUAUGCAUUCUUUGCCCUCUGGGAAGAGCAAGACGGUGUACUGAGCAACAUUGUUGGAUCCAAAGUUUUGACCAUUCCCAACUGGAACACGCAUCUCGAAAAGUCAAGCGGGAUUUGAGAAACAUCGAUCCUGAUCGUGCCAAUGCGAAUGGCCUCGGUUUUUGCAAGGGGAUGGAGCUAGAUCCACAAACUUUCAACCGAAGCAUUGUAAAGCUCAGGGGGAGAGAUUUUGAUCCAUGGACAAAUUUCAGGGUCAAGACAGCUCCAGAAGCAGCAGGAUUCGACAUGUCCCAGCGAGUCGUCUUUGCGAGUAGGCCACACAGAAACCUUUGCCUUCUUGGAGCUGACAACUCCUCAAGCAGCAAUUCCAUUACCUCGUCAGUCGACUUGAUGUCUGGGAUCUUUCAUGUCUCACGUAAGAACUCUUACAUUCAAGCGCAGAACUCGGCCCUGGAUCUCAAUCAUCCAGCGUCGGAUUUCUGGGUGGCAGCAGUAGCUCUUCCCAGUGCCUUCAUAGCCGUCGUGGCAGCAGCUGUGCCUUUCAUCAAUCUCCAGCUCAGGCUCUUCACGAACUUGACGAAUUUCCGGCGAUGGAAGACAUUGAUGCUUUGUGUGAGCAUCUCGGUUGCAUCUUACUCUGCUGUGAUUGCCGUCACCCCUGCCGAGCUUCAGAGGGAGAGGAAAUUUGCGACCUGGGGGCUGCUGGUAGACCAAGUUCCAAUCACAAAGCGAGGGCUUGAAGUUCUCGUUGUUGUCAAGGGCGAGUCGGUCUAUAAAUCCAGCAGCCUCAUACUUGCAUGGUGCUCCACUGCCAUCCUCGUUCCAGUGGUCGCGUGCAUCACAUUCUUUACUUCUCGGUAACCCGGAAGAACGGAUCCUUGAUCUUCAAGCAAUAGAAAUGAACGCAGUGGAGCAGCGGCGGCUGGAGAGGGAGCGUGAGGCAGCUAGAAAAGCAUAGAGAGUUUACUUAUUUAAAAUAAAACAUUUUAACAAUUUUUAUAAGAAAGCUACUAAAAAUCCUCGAAGUUCGCAACCUUGGAUUAUCUAGGUAUAUCCGGCAUGAGAAACGCUGAUCUUUUCAUGGAACGAGUUAAGAGCAAUAGCGAUUCAUCUCUGUUUUGUCCGAACAAGGCUCCUGGAUUGGCUGACUGCUGGGGUGAAGAGUUUGAAAGCUUGUACACAAGAUAUAAAAAGGAGGUCAGUCUCCUAAUUCUUUUACGAGCUUAAUUUUUUGCGGUGUUUAUCAGGGGAGAGCUAAACGUUCCUUAUCAGGUCAGAAACUUUGGUUUGCAAUUUUGGAAACUCAGAUGGAAACUGGCAAUUUUUUAAGGUGUGAAGUCAAGGAGUUCUUAUUUCUGACGCUUUUUUCCGUUUCAGGACAGGAAGAGCAAUCAACAAAAUCUGGGGACUAUCAAGUGCUCAAAUCUCUGCACUGAGAUUGUGGAAUAUACCAGUCCCUCUGAGACAGCCAUGUGUAACCUUGCAUCCACUGCGUUACCUCGGUUUGUCCGUGAACAAGGAAUAAACUCGGAAACUAAACUGGUCGGUAGCAAGGGAUGCAAAAAUAGAGUUUUUGAUUUUGACAAACUGGCUGAGGUAACACAGCUUUCAUCAUUCUCUAACGUCAACAUGGAGAUUUUUUCCAGGUGACAACAGUAGUGACUGAAAACUUAAACAAGAUUAUUGACAUCAACUACUACCCAGUUGACACAGAAAAGCGUUCAAAUCUUCCACAUCGUCCAAUUGGAAUUGGUGUCCAAGGAUUAGCUGACGCAUUUAUUCUCCUUGGGCUCCCAUUCGAUUCCGAAGAGGUACAACGUUUUUUCAUGUAGCCGAGUAACGUUUCUCUUUACAGGCUCGUGAGCUGAACAAAGACAUUUUUGAGACGAUCUAUUAUCAUGCCAUGAAAACGUCAACCGUUCUGGCAGAAUUAUAUGGAGUUUAUGAAACAUAUCCUGGAAGUCCAGUCAGUAAAGUUCGGGUAGUGAUUAUUAAUUUUUUUCUCUAUCAAUUAUUUGUCUUUCCAGGGAGUCUUAUGUGGAACGUUAUACCGUCUGGUCGUUGGGAUUGGCCAGCCUCGAAGGAAAUGGUCGCCCGCCAUGGAGUACGCAAUUCCUUACUUGUUGCUCCAAUGCCGACGGCAUCAACAAGCCAAAUUCUUGGAAACAACGAGUGUUUUGAGCCUUAUACAUCCAAUAUUUACGCUCGACGCGUUCUAAGGUAUGCCUUCUUUCUGUAUCAGCUGUGAUACUUAUGUUGCCUGCUACAGUGGUGAAUUUGUUGUGGUUAACAAGCAUCUGCUGAACGAUUUGACUGAUUUGGGAAUAUGGACACCGGAUCUGAAUAUACAGGUUGGUUUGUGGACAAGUUUUUAUUUUUUCUGAACCAUGUCAAUCAGGACUGUAUGGGAGAUCAAGCAAGUUGAUAUGGCUGUGGAACGCGGAGCAUACAUUGACCAAAGCCAAAGCCUGAACAUUCAUAUGGAGCAGCCCACAACGACCAAAUUGACUUCACUACACUUCCACGCAUGGUCAGGGGUAAGGACACUCAGCAUAUUAGCGAUUUCUAUGCCUGUCCUCAACAAAAUUAAUUUCAGGGCCUAAAGACUGGUAUGUAUUAUCUACGAUCGCAAGCUGCUGCGGACGCUAUCAAGUUCACUGUCGAUACGGCCUCAUUAAAGGUAGGAUUAUUUUCUACGGUUUUAUCUAGCCAUCUCUUCUGUACCAGAGUCCUACAAAGUCAACCGACAGAAGAGCUAUUAGCGCAGAUGGUUUUCUCACUCGAGAAUCGUGAGAACUGCUUAGCGUGUGGUAGCUAGGUACUUGGUUAGAAUGUGUUUUACGCUACGUGGGCCAGCAGAGCUCUAACUUAGUGCUCAAUAAUCUACACUCGAAGGCUUGUAUAUGAUAUUUGAGGUAUGAAAUCCUGUUCCGAACUUCUGGGAUCCGUUUUGGGUGUGAGCGUUGACGCCAGUUACAGGUGACUAGAAAGAAGAACCUGAUGCGUUUAUCCUUAUAAAACUGUCCUCUUUGGGGUUUUAAUCGCUCUAUUUCACGCAGCGUAGCUCAGUGGUCAUCGUCUUCGGCCACUCUGAGUAUACUUAUGCUUUCAAUUUUCGUUUCUCAUCUAGUCUCUUAAGCAGUGACGAAGAUGCGAUUACUGGAUCUCUCGGCCGUAAGGUACGCCCAACGACUGAUAGUAGGACAUAGAUCUGUCUGGUUAUUUUCUCCGUGGAGAGUUUAGAUCUCUCUCACAGAAAGAUGGAAGGCUUGAGCAGAAGCGAGCCUUCAGAUUCAAGGGGGUUUACACAGGAUACAGGCCUCCUGGUGAACGAUGGCUCGAAGCAGACAAGCAUGUAUCAGCUGUUGUCGACUAGCACAGAAGCAGGGAAGCAUUUUUAUCGAUACGUUGUUUGGUGCGCCCUUUUGGCAUCUCUGAAUUCUGUGCUACUUGGAUAUGGUAUGUGUUUUGUUUCUUUACUUAGCAUUGAGUUUUAACUUUGUGUCUUCCAGACAUUGGUAUCAUGAGCGGAGCAGUCUUGUUCAUAAAGGAGGAUCUGAAAAUUCAUGAGCUACAGGAAGAGGUUCUGGUAGGCUCGCUAAACUUGAUAUCUUUAGUCGGCGGAGUUUUAGCAGGCAGGCUUUCGGACUCCAUUGGCCGAAAGAAAACAAUGGCAAUAGCUUCCGUCAUAUUCUUUCUCGGAGCAGGGGUGAUGGGGCUGGCUCCAAAUUUUGGUAUCUUGCUGAGGGUCGUAUAGUGGCAGGGAUAGGAGUAGGAUUCGGGCUUAUGAUAGCACCGGUCUACACUGCAGAGUUGGCACCAGCAGCAAGCAGGGGUGCUUUGGUUUCGUUUCCAGAGAUAUUUAUCAACGUGGGAAUACUGCUGGGAUACAUUGUCAGCUACUUACUGUCGGGAUUGUCUGCGGGACUCAGCUGGAGGCUGAUGCUCGGGGCAGGAUGCAUCCCAGCGAUCGUUCUGGCCGUUGGUGUUCUUUUCAUGCCAGAAUCACCGAGGUGGCUCGUCAUGCAAAGCAGAAUACCCGAGGCGGAAGUGGUCCUUCUCAAGACCUCGAGAAGCAAGCCGGAAGCGGAUGAAAGGCUGGCAGAUAUAAUGGCAGCCGCGAAGCUCAACCAGCAAGCCGGCAAGAGCCAAGGCGAAGGAGUCUGGAACGAGCUUCUGUGGCCGGUUCCAUCCGUGAGAAGGAUGGUCAUCGUGGCCUUGGGUAUCCAGUUCUUCCAGCAAGCCUCAGGGAUCGACGCUCUCGUGUACUACAGCCCAGCGGUCUUUAACCAGGCCGGGAUCACAAGCAAAGCAGGAGUUCUGGGAACCACAGUGGCAGUAGGAUUCACCAAGACGGCUUUCAUUCUCGUGGCAACGUCUUUGCUGGAUAAAGUCGGCCGGAGGCCACUGCUUCUCGCGAGCAGCGUCGGGAUGGCAGCGUCACUGGCGACAGUGGCUCUCGGCUUUGUCUUCUACGACAGUGCCAUGGAUCCGAGCAAGCAUCGCCACCUUCCAGUCCAGUCCACAGCUAAAUCCCCCGGAGGAAGCUCGGACGUAGCUCUAGCUCUGAUCAUCACCGCCAUUUGCGUCUUCAUGGCUUCCUUCUCGGUGGGAUUUGGGCCGAUCAACAUGGUUCUAAACUCUGAGGUGUUUCCUCUCCGGCUCCGAGCUCAAGCCGUGAGCCUGGGACUGCUCGUCAACCGGCUGGUUAGCGGCACCAUCGGGCUUAGGUUCUUGAGCAUCUCCGAGGCACUGUCACUGGCCGGGACGUUCUUUCUCUUCGCGGGCAUCGCGGCAGCGUCGGUGGUGUUCAUCUACUUUCUGGUUCCCGAGACCAAAGGGAAGAGUUUGGAGGAGAUCGCGGGGAUGUUUGAGCGGGAGGGGAUGCUCGCUGGAUCGCCAGAGCUUGUGGAGCUUUCUUCAUCCACGGCAGUGGCGGGAGGCCAAUCUUUCAAGUACGAGGACGUGGGGAGUGCUCCUCACGAGCACUUGGAAGUGGAGGCGAGCCAUGAAGAAAGUGGUGGCGGCUUGGGCAGCAAGGAAUGUAUGAUGAAGAAUCUCACAAGAAGCUGCUAGCUAAAGUCAAGUUGAUUGCUGCAAAACAGGGCAAUGUUUGAACUAAGUGUUUGGGUAUUUUUAUUUUAACUAAAUUAUUAAAUGAAAAAAAGUUUUGUGUUUUUAACAACCAUAGCAAAUCAAAAGGUGAUUGUGUGCAAUUGAAAAGGUGUAAAUAAAAGUAUAUUUAUUAUCACAUGUCAUAUACGACUGACAUGCGGUUAGGGUAUGUCUUUCCCACACUAGACUUCCAUACCCACGACCUCCCAACAUUGACGGGAACACAAGCAAGUAUUAUGGAAGACUAGAGGGCAUUGCUCAUUAAAGUAACAUGCCCCCAAUUCCCAGAUGGAAACAUAUAGCAAGUGCUUGAAUGACAAUUUCCCUUCUCUCCCAAAAAAGUCCCAUGGAAACAUAUAGCAAAUGCUUGAAUGACAACUUCCCUUUUCUUCCAAAAAGUCUCAUGUUCUCAUGGACUAUAAACACAACUAUCUAUCUAGUUAUAUUUACUUAAUCCCCACUUUUAUUACAGUUGCAUACAUACACACUAGUGCAUUUCAUUUCAUGCUCGCUUCUUGAGCUCGGUGAAAGGAUAGACCGAAGAGGUACCGCUGAUGAACGCAUCCCCAAGCUUGAACGAAUCGUAGUGCAGGAAGAAAUCCGCAAACAAGAUCCUGGUAACCAACACCACAAAGUUCUUCCCGGGGCACUGCUUGUUGUCCACGCUGGGCGAGCUCGUCUCGGGGCCAUUCGACCAGAAAACAUGCUCCAGCAGGCGCUGCCCCUCCUCCCCCAUGAACCUCCGAGGCUUGAACUUCUCGGGCUCCUCAAACACCACCGGGUCGCGCGUCACCAGCGGCUGGUACCCGUACAGCAUCUCCCCGGCCUUGAUCUUGAACGCCUCAACGUGCGUCUCAAGGACAAAGUCCACCUUGGCCUUGCCGUACUGCGACUGUACCGGGGGCUCGAUGCGCAGCACCUCGUACACCGUGGACUGCAGCAGCGGCAUGGCGCCCAGUGCCGCGGCGUCCACGCCGCCGCGGCCCACGGCACGCCGCACCUCCUCCCGCAGCUCCGCCUGCAGGUCAAACUCGUCAAAGUCGCUCACAUGCUUGAACAGCGCGGGCCACAGAAUGGUCAACCCUCCGAAGGUGUUGAAACAUAUGAAGAAGACGAGGUUGUGCAGGGCCUCGUCGGGGUCGAUACCGUGCGGAACCGCCAGCGACACCGCGCGCUCCCCGUUGGCCUUAAAGAAGCGCACGAUCUUAUGGUACUCGGGCGCCACGAUGAUGAAGGGUAUGGGCGCGGUGUGGAGCAGCGGCUCCUGGAUCACGGCGGGCAGGCCCGCGUUGAGCACCGGGGCGAUCUGCGGUGCGAUCCACAGCUUGAUCCCGGUCUCGGUGAGCGCAUUCCCCUCGGUUGCAUCCUUGUCCAGCACCGUCUUGGUCAGGAAACGGAGCGCGAUCUUCCCCAGCACAGGGUUGAGCUCCGGUGGAUCAUCCGGGAGCAGCCCCGAGACAAUUCCGCCCAGCAGCCCCCCGGACUUCUUCGGCUUGUUGAGCUCGGCGUCCCACUCGUCGUAUCCGGCAGCCGCUGCCGCGCGGAGCUCCGGGAUCCAACGGUCGUGGUUGCUGCUGAGGAUGUCCAUGCAGUACGACUUGAGCUGCGCAUGCUUGGGCUCCUCCUGUCCGAGAUAGGACAGCACGCGGUAGCCGCCCGUGAAUCCGGUGCUCGGGACGUAGGUGCCGGUGAACACAUUCUUCUUGCUCACCUUGGUGAGAUCGAACAGGACAGGGAAGCUCUUCUGAUCCAGCAGCGCAAUGACUUUGGAAUCGGGGAAGAAAGGUGGCCCGGGGGGCAUGUUGACGCGGAAGACGGUGCUCCCGUACUCGUCCCUCCGCUUCUCGAAGAAAUUCUUGCCGUAGAAACGGUCCAGCUGAUCCAGCACGGAGCCGAGUAUGGGUGCGCCAUAUUCACCGGGCACGUCGCGCUUCACCUCCAGGUUCCUGUCGUUGCUCAUCACUGCAAUUGAUGCAAAGAAGUGAAGUUUGAGCUGCUAAGAACACAGUACUUGAGUACAAGGUGUGCUUGUGUUGGGCACAAGCUCGGGCUUUUAAGCAAGGUGGUCUCUAUAGUACCUCCUGCAGCAUGAAGAACGUGGGUGCAAGCGACAGAU
rnacentral:lncRNA from 1 species